AGUGGGGUAAGCUAAACUAAGCUAUUGGGCUCAUAACUCAGAAAUAGAAUCUACUCUCCCCUCUA
rnacentral:tRNA from 1 species